UUAUUCUUUUCAAUUAAGCUUAUCGUAUGGGAAUUCUCCGGAGAUUUACUCUCAGCGGCUGCCGGCGACGAUGAGAACGUCGGAAUCAAAGCACCAUGCGUCCAUGUCCAUAGAGGUUCAAUCCUACUGAUUUCUCACAAAUUUGAAACUGAACGUCCUGAUCUCCGAUCCAGGGAGCAUCAUUUUGGGGCGCGAAGUGCAGGUCUAGUUUCUGGAUGAUUCUUUUGGAAUAAUGGCGGCAGUCUCAGUUAAGCAAUCGACUGCGGACAGUAAUUGUUAGUCAUUACUUCACCUGCUUGUCGUUGUUAAAUUAUCAAGAGUGACAAUGAGUUAGUGCUUCAGCUUUUAAUUCAUUUUGAAUUGUACUUUUCAAAGUAAUUAUAGGCAAAUUUAUGCAUUUGCUUUGCUUUACCUGUCCUUUUCAUCAAGCUCAGGUUCCUAAUGAUUUUACUUGUCGUUCUUCAGAAUUGAGUGCUCGCUCUGUUGUUUCUUUAAAUUAGUCUCUUUGUGUUACAUUUUUCUUCAUAUAGUCAAUUAGUUCUAGGGAUUUUGAUGUCUUUGCUGUCACGUUAAUCAUUAGAUGGUGAUGUUAUAGCAUCGUUUUAGAAUUUUUUGAACGGACAUGUGUAGAGGUAAGAAAUUGUUCAAUUAUUCUUAUUGUUUUAAAUAAAAGAAAGAUACUAUCGUUGAUUGUAUGAAAUAUACUAUUGUAAAAGAAGCCACUGCGAUUGGCAGAAUCAGAAUGGUGUUGUGAUUAGGGGGAGGAUAGCAAAAAGAGCGCAAACAUUUUAUCAUUUUCGUUAAUUUCCACCUGCUAUUUCCUCAAAAGAUUCUUUCGUCCGUCUCCAACCAAACCUUAGUGCUUAAUCACGCAUAACCACAACACCUGUAGUUUCUCCUUGAAAGGAAUGCCAUAAAAGAAGUUGUUAAACAUAGGCAGCCAGGGAAUCUGUGCCAUAUACCUUACUGAACAAAUCUAGGCAUAAUUGAGAAAUAAUUGGUGGUGUAAAGUCCCGAAUCUCUAAAACCCCAACAAACUGAAUCUUGUCAGAGCAAAAGUGGUGGCAGAUAUUCAUGUGAAGCUGCCAUGGAUUAAAUUUUUGCUGCUUUCUUGAAGUGUUUGUUGCUCCUUAUGGGAUAGACUUCUAAUCUUUUUUGUAUUUUUUUCCUCACAUUGAUGUUCGUGAAGCCAGGUAGAUCCCCUCUCCCCUUAAAACAAUUCUAGUUUAGAAAGAACUGAAGUCUAAUUGUUUUGACUAGCCUAUGUAUUCUAGUAAGUCAAAAUGCAAGCAUAAUUAGCCUUAUUUAUCCUAUUUGAAUGAAGGGAUAGUCAUGAAAAGUUGGUGCUUUGUGUUAAACGUGGAUUAUGAACUUCAAAAUGGACUCUGAUCAAAGUAUGAACUUCAAACCCAAAAGUUCUUAUUUUCUAUGUUUAGUAACCAGAAGAGAAAUCAUUUAGGCAUUUCUUUUCCUCUAUUUUCUGGAUCAAUGAUGCAUGCCAACUGUUUUCUCACCGUUCUAGUAGGUUGCUACUCUUGUGCACAUAGUUUCUCAAGAUUAAUUAUCUAUCUGGAAGUUUCAGUGUUGAUAUAGCACACAGUUAUCUUAUAGAAAGGGGUAAUACUUAUAUUGCUCUUUGGUAAUUGAUACUGACAUUUCUCAUAUCAUAAUUGGACUUUGGUAAUUGAUAAUAUACAAGUUAUAGAAUUGGAACAGCAAUCAACAGUAGAACGAGAGAAGAUGGUAUUUCUUUUUUUGUAAUAAUAAACAGUAAGAAGUCUAUACAGUUUCUUUCUUAUUUAUAGCUACCAUUUAAAUUUAAUUAUAAUUAUAAAACAACGUAUGCAUAUCUAUAAUUGCAUUUAAUCCAAGUCCUAAAUUCUAUUAGAACAAGCCCAAUGUGAUCGCAUUAGGUCCAUUGAGUGCUGCUAUGAGAUUGAGGUAAUUUUAUUGAGCUUUCUUAAUGGAAGAAACCAAGGUGACUGUAAAUUUUCAGUUGAUCGUGUCAACUCUCAAAGGAACUUCGGUAAUGAAUUUAUGUUUUCUAUGGGGUUGGGAAAACUGUGGACAUGUUUAUGUGUAUUUGAAAUUUCAGGCUGGUCACUCCAAUUCCUUAGUGUUUUUCGCAUGCUCAAGCAAUUUACAAUACGCCAAACUAUCUACCAUACUUAUGCUGCUAUUGUUAUGUUUUUGGUAUUCACAACUUAAGGGUACAGUUUUACAUCCUAUAAAACAGAUUCUGUUCAAGUAAGGUCGUUCUGAUAUUUUUGGUAUUGUAAAGCAAUGAAAGGACUUUUAAGACAUGUUGGCGAUUUGAGAUUUAUUAUCUUGGAGUAGAAAUGUUAAAGCUGUAGAUAUUGUUUUCUUGAAUUGCUAGUUUGUCUAGAAGAUUAAGGUUCUUCCUUGCAACUGUUUUCUUUUUCCUUCCGAGUAUAUUUUAUUCCCUUUUUUAUCCUCCUGCAUCUCGAUUUUUAGUUAUUGGUCAAUAUAUUCGUGUUUUGUUUUAUAUUUUUUAAUAAGACUAUUGAGCAAUAUUAUUUAAUCAAACUUUUUAAAGAGUUGAAAUUGUGUUAUUUCUUUUGAGCUUAUCAAUGCUAUCCUAUCCCUUUCCCCAGAAAACUAGUAGUAAGUCCUUUCAAUGUCCUUAUCAUCUGUCUAAAAGUGUGCUGUCUAUUUCAUUUUCUUUUCAUGUUUUUCAUUUCAUCUGAUGUAAAUCCUAAUCUGUGUGCUUUUUGGACUUCUUGAAAGCUAUUGCAUAGAAAAAUGGAAGAAGUUUCUCCAAACUCCAUUAUCUUGAAUUUCAUAUUAGUUUCCCAUCAGAUCAAGAUUGAUGUUUAUAUUUCUGGUCAUAUCAUUUGUAAUUCUCUGUAAGAUAGAGAUAUUUCUCUUGUUCCUGUUUAGCAGUUUGACUUCAAAUUCCCGUUCAACAAGUUUAUAAUAGCACGUUUGUGCAAAGGAAAUUGCUUGGAAAAUUGCACAUAUUGCUGCUAUGUCUUAUCAAUUGCUCACCUGCAUAUGGUACAUUUGUCCCUUUACAUAAACAUAUCCUUUAGUAGUAAUCAGGUAACAGUGUGACUUUUUUUUUCCUUUUUUAUCUUUUGUGUACACAGAAUAGAAUAGCAUUUAAUAUAUAUAUAUAUAUAUAUAUAUUGAAUUCUUGAUGCAUUUGCACAGAACUAUCAUUUACUUCGGUCUAGUAGAAUUUAGAUUGCAACCUUUCCAACUCUUCUGUCAAGCUAGAUUGUUCAAAGGGCAUGAAAGAAAUGUGAACUUAGAGUCUCACCUCGAAGUUUGACAUCAGCAUGGAUGCAAAAAGCUUAUCUGCAGUUCAUCAGAUGGUUCAAGUUGACUGCAAACCUGCAAUGCUAAGCUUCUUUGGACAGCCAAGUCAUAUAAACGAGCUUUAAUAGACCAUCUUUUUGAUCUGGCCUAACAUGAUCCCUCCGUGCAGCAGAAUGGAGAUGUUGCAGGGAUCGAGUAAUACAACUUGAAUUUUAUUGUUCAUCUGUGACAGUCUUUUCCUAGAGAAAGAAAUAUGAAGUUUAAAUUCUAUCUUUUAACAUUGGUUGCGCAUGGCAAGGAAAUCGGGACAGACAUGCAAGUACAAGAAAUUGUAUGAACGCGGAUGAACGGCACACUUCACCGAAGAAAGAGCUGUGUGGGGGCAUUUUCAAGUUGUGCCAAGAUGCAUUUGAAAUGGGGCCAACAUUCUCUCUCAUACCCCAUGUCUCUUUGCACCACCUCACCAACCGGGCACAGUUUCAAAUAUCUAUUGGUCAAACACAAUGCGAUGGAAAGGAAAAACAUGCUUAUAUCUAUAUGUUCUGUAACACUGCCAGACAGACUGGUGUUCGUGCUGUAAGGACCCACUGACUAUCCUAUCAAGCGACAAGAAGCGAUGGGCUGAAAGGAACCAGAAACAAAUAUUAUAUGAAUUCCAAGCACUUAGCUUAGCGAUGGAAAAUCGUUGCUUUGGAAUCACUAAACACUUUCUUGUCAUCUUCAUGAUUUUUAAAUCUCCUUUUGGUCCAUCAUGUCAGGUAUUUUCUUUUUAAAUUAAUGUUUAUCCUUUGCUACAUGCUACACCAUAAUCAAAAUGCAUGUUAUAUGCCUCGGCACAAAGUGUUAUACAUCACCAGCCAUCCAAUCCUGGCCUCCAAAAGUAGCCGACCAACAGAAACUUAAAAACUCAUCUUAUUGGUGAUAACAUGUGAUUUGUGGCCUCAAUCCCAGAAACCCAUUGGCUGAUUUUUCCUUUUCUUUUUCUUUUCCUGUCUCUUCCAAUUUUUUAUUUAAUAUUUCGAAGCAGCGACAAUGACUUGCUAAUGGUUUUUUCUUACCUAAUCAGGAAGUGUACCUUAGUUGGUCUUUGGUUUGGUCUCUGGAGUCAUCAUUAUAGCUCUGACUUCCAUUUUCUUAUCUACGAAACAACGUCAUAAUAUUGGCAAAAUGUUCCAUAGUCACAUCUAAUCCGAACCUCGCUUAAAGAAGAUGUAGUGGUUAAAAGUAAAGAUAUCCUAUAAAGUUAGAGAUAAGAUGUUUGAUUAAUGACUCCAUUUGUUGGAUAAACAAGAAGCUGAGUCCAGCUAGAACCCAGUUCUUGUUCUUAAUUAUCUUAGAUUCUAAACCCUAUUAUGCUUUUUAUUUAAAGCAAUUUGAUUUGAAAUAACCUUUAAUACUAAUAUUCAGUCAUGUUUUCACUUUUCUUAUAUUGUAGUCUGAUGGGACAAUAAUUUGUUGAACAAAUAUUCUAUUAAUGUUUUCUAGUUUACUUGAAGCUUAAUACCGUAAUCCCCCAGCUCGAAUUCUUCUGAAUGAAGUCAAUAUUUAGUUAAAUAUAAGGGUGAUCUCACUGUUGCUCGCAAAAGAUGACAUUAGUUCAUAUGAAAUGAAAACAAAGCUAUAGGAGUCUCUAACAAUUGAUAUUAUGACUAAAAGAGCUUCUUGUGUUGCAAAUUAAUGCCUGAUGAUUUGGAUGUUCGGCAUUAGUGUUUGAUUUUAUGUGAAGCUCUCUUGUCAUAAAAAUGUGUGAUGCCAUUUUUGACGAUGUUUGGAAGCUUUUCUUUUGCUAGUUCCACAGCAGAAACACGUGGAUAACCUGAAGUCAUUGUAGUUGACUGAAAAGAUUCAAUGUUAAUCAUAAAUCUUUGGGGGCACUCUUGGCAAGGGACUAUGCACUCAAGCACACAGUGAAGAAUAAAAGUGUACCACAGAGCACCUUAUCUCAAUAAGUAAUUGGCAAGGGGAGGCAGGCCAUCAUUUGUAAUAAUGCUGAUGAUGAUCCUGUUGUCGAGGAAACAUGCAUGGAAUGAACUACGUGUCGAUAUGAGGCAAAUUAGCUUCAGGGGAAUGGAGAGAGACUGAAAAGCAUCGCAAAAAUUAAUCAAGUUAAAGCUGAGAGAGCAUCAAAUCUGCCAUGAAUUGAAAGCUACGUGUCAAUUUUUGAGUUGUAACUCUGAUGCUUAUGAUCUAACAUGUCGGGAAGAUGAUCAACAUUUCUGAUAUACAAAUUGAAGGUACCUCCCUCCCUCCCUCCCUCGACCGACGAUAAGUGUGUCUAGAGAUAUUCAUUCAUUUAAUUAUAGUUUUUAUUCAUGUUAACUAAAAAAAGUUUAUAACUUCAGUCACCCUUAGAUCCAUGGCAUGUGAUUAGGCAAUUGAGUAUACUCAAAACCACAAUCAAAUAUAAAUGUAUAAUCUCAAGAGAGUCAAAAUUGGCCAUAUCUUAAUCAGUUUCAUAAAAUUAUGUUACAAAUUAAUUAAUUAA